AAAGCAAGAUUUUCUAUCGCCUUACACUUGUUGUACGGAGGAAAGUCCGGGCAUCACAGAGCAACAUACUUCCUAACGGGAAGGGUUUCAUUUAUUGAAAUACAGAAAGUGCCGCAGAGAAUAACUACCUUAAGUUUACUUAGGGAAAAGGUGAAAACGUGAGGUAAGAGCUCACGAGUUGUGUUGGCGACAGUACAAUUGGGUAAACCUUAUGUGAUGAAAAACCAAAUAAACCAGAGCUUGAGAGCUGCUCGCUCGAUUCUGGAGGGUAGGUUGUUGGAGACUGUGAGUAAUUGCAGCCCUAGAUAAAUGAUAGACAUUCCUUAAUUGGAUAAACAGGACCCGGCUUAUAAAUCUUGCUUUUAUU
rnacentral:RNase_P_RNA from 2 species